GGGGGGCUGGCGCAACGGUAGCGCGGUAUGUUCACACACAACAACUCAAUCAGCGAGUUCAAUCCACUAACUCACAAGCAGUCAGAUUCCAGACUUGGAAUUUCCUGAAGGUUAUCCGUUCGAAUCGGGUGCUCCUCA